rnacentral:rRNA from 1 species
CCUACGUGAGGCAGCAGUGAGGAAUAUUGGUCAAUGGGCUUACGCCUGAACCAGCCAAGUAGCGUGAAGGAUGACUGCCCUACGGGUUGUAAACUUCUUUUAUAAGGGAAUAACGCGAGCUACGUGUGGCUUUUUGUAUGUACCCUAUGAAUAAGGCACGGCUAACGCCGUUCCAGCAGCCGGGGUAAUACCGAAGGUCCGAGAGUUAUUCGGAUUUUUUGGGUUUAAAGGGAGCGUAGGUCGGAGGGUAAGUUAGUUGUGAAAGUUGCGGGCUCAACCCUAACAUUGCAGUGGAGACUGGCAGGCUUGAGUACGCGUGAGGUAGGCGGAAUGCGUGGUGUAGCGGUGAAAUGCUUAGAUAUCACGAAGAACUCCGAUUGCGAAGGCAGCUUACUGAAGUGCAACUGACGCUGAUGCUCGAAAGCGUGGGUAUCGAACAGGAUUAGAUACCCGGGUAGUC